UAGUGAACUAGUACCGUGAGGGAAAGGUGAAAAGAACCCCGGAGAGGGGAGUGAAAUAGAUCUGAAACCAUACAUCUACAAGGAGUCGGAGCCCUGCGGGGCGACGGCGUGCCUAUUGAAGAAUGAGCCGGCGAGUGUACCUUUAUUCCAGUCUAAGUGGUAAUCCCACGCAGGCACAGUGAAAGCGAGCAUGAAUAGUGCGAAAUUUAUGGAGUAGGGGUACGACCCGAAGCGGGAUGAGCUUGCCAUGAGCAGGGUGAAGCGACUGUAAUAGGUCGUGGAGGCCCGAACCGGUUGGCCGUACAAAACCAUCGGAUGACUUGUGGUAAGGAGUGAAAAGCUUAUCGAAUUCCGUAAUAGCUGGUUCUCUCCGAAACAGCUUUAGGGUUGGCGUCGUGUGUUACCUACGGGGGUAGAGCACUGGAAAGAGCAGACAGGGAGAAAUCUCGCUACUCUUAUCAAACUCCGAAUACCGUUAGGCCAGAGCACGGCAGUUAGACUGUGGGCGAGAAGGUCCAUUGGUCAAAAGGGAAACAGCCCAGAUCGCCAGUUAAGGUCCCUAAAUAUAUGCUCAGUGCAUCUCGAGGAGGUGGAAACUCAUAAACAGCCAGGAGGUUGGCUUAGAAGCAGCCAUCCUUUAAAGAUAGCGUAACAGCUCACUGGUCGAGAGUUUCUGCGCCAAAGAUGAUCGGGGCUCAAGCAUAUUACCGAAACUGCGGAUUCGUACACUUCAUUGAGGAAAGGAGGAAAGAAAAUGGCAAAAUGGGAAGCCAAAUAUGAUUAUGUCUACCAUGAUGAAGAUGGUGGAUUUACAAGAACAAGAAAAGUAGAGAUUAUUGAAGCUGACUCUAUUGAAGCAGCGGAAAUAAAAGCAAAGUCUCUGCAUCAAGAACAGGUGUACAUCGGAGGAGAUUCUUCGGAAGGCACUCUGAUUUCUCUAGAAAGGAUUUUUGAUCUUUAAUUUUUCCGAGGGUUCCCCUCGGAUCCUCAAUGAAGUGUACGAGUGGUAGGAGAGCGUUCUAUUCUGCGAUGAAGCCAAGGGGGGACCCGCGGUGGAGCGUAUAGAAGUGAGAAUGCCGGCACAAGUAACCGCAAGGAGGGUGAGACCCCCUCCCGCCGAAAUACCAAGGUUUCCUUCGCGAUGGUGAUCAGCGAAGGGUUAGUCGGUCCUAAGGGAAUCCCGAACGGGGGACUCGAUGGAGAGCAGGUUAAUAUUCCUGCACAUAGCGUUCGUUCCGAUGGAGGGACGGAGUGUUGUACUUUCCGCGGCUUAUUGGAUUGCCGUAGGGGUGCUGAGGGUGCUAGAUAGGCAAAUCCGUCUAGCGUUAGCCCAAGGUAUAGCUAAAGGUGAGGCUUCGGCCGAUCCGAUGGAGAGGAGCACGCUUCCAAGAAAAACUUCUAAGGUUGUACGCGCGCUAUUCCGUACCGCAAACCGACACAGGUGGUAGAGUCGAGAAGACUAAGGCGAACGAGUGAGAGGUCCUCAAGGAACUCGGCAAACAAGCGGCCGUAACUUCGGGAUAAGGCCUGCCUUUCUAGCGAUAGAAAGGCCGCAGCGAAAGAUUUCCUGGCGACUGUUUAACAAAAACACAGCUCUCUGCGAAGACGUAAGUCCAUGUAUAGAGGGUGACGCCUGACCAAUGCCGGAAGGUUAAGUACGGGGGGUGAUAUGAUCUUCGGAUUGUAUUGCUGGACUGUAUAAGCCCCGGUCAAUGUCAGCGAUAACUAUAAUCGUUCUAAGGUUCAGUGUAUGAGCAAUCGUGCAUUGAACGGACUAGAACGAUUGUAGGGUUAAGCAGCCCGAGCCAUAGCUACCUCCUGCACAGAAAUGUGUAGUGAGUCCAAUUGCAACCAACAAGAGACCAAAUGUUGCACAUCUGACCAUUCAGUUGCAGAUGAAGAUAGAGUCCUAUUGUGUACGAAGAUGCGCGGGCAUCUUCAUAAAGAAGGAAAAAUAGAGCGUAUUUCCUUGUCGGGUAAGUUCCGACGUGCACGAAUGGCGUAACGACCGGGAAACUGUCUCGAGGACCUGCUCGGUGAAAAUACAAUAGGGGUAAAGAUGCCCCUUACCUGCAGUUAGACGAAAAGACCCCAGGUGCUUUACUGUAGCUUCGUAUUGGGGCUAUUGAAUUCAUGCGUAGUAUAGUGGGGAGACUUUGAAGCAUUUCUCUUGGGGAAUGUGGAGUCGCCAGUGAAAUACCCAUCUUGAUUUUGGUAGUCUCUAACCAGGUAGGAAAAACCUAUCAGGAACAGUGCGUGGUAGGCAGUUUAAGUGGGGCGCUUCCCUCCCAAAAAGUAACGGAGGGGUUCCAAGGUCAACUAGGCGCGAAUGGAAACCGUGCCGAUAGUGUAAUGGCAGAAGUUGGCUUGACUGCAAGGCGUAGGUGCCGCGCAGACACGAAAGUGGGACAUAGUGAACCGAUGGUACGCGUUAGAUGCGGCCGGAGAUUACCCGAUAAAAGUAACCCUGGGGAUAACAGGCUAGUCGUGCCCAAGCGUCCAAAGCGACGGCACGGUUCGGCACCUCGAUGUCGGCUCAACUUAUCCUGGGGCUGGAGCAGGUCCCAAGGGUUUGGCUGUUCGCCAAUUAAAAAGUUACGCGAGCUGGGUUUAGACCGUCGUGAGACAGGUUGGUCUCCUAUCUACUGCAGGCGUCGAUACUUGACGAGAGUUGUCCCUAGUACGAGAGGACCGGGAUGAACGAACCUCUGGUCUGUCGGCUGUCACGCCCGUGGCACUGCCGAGUAGCUAUGUUCGGAAUGGAUAACUGCUGAAAGCAUCUAAGCAGGAAGCCAACUUGGAGAUUAGGUAUCAUUAAGUCCCCAGAGAGAUGAUCUGGUUGAUAGGCACUAGGUGGAAGUGCGGUAACGCAUGCAGCCGAGGUGUACUAAUCGGACGUAGUUCCUGCA
rnacentral:rRNA from 1 species